CUUAUUUGAAACUUAAGAGAAUGAAUCCAGAUAGACCUUUCCGCUUAUACAUGUUUAAGGACUGUGAGCGCAGGUCACUGGUAAAGUUGUUUCACCAUAGAGAACUCUAACCUCCCCCUGUUCAUUGAAAGGUCUGUACAUAUGGUGCUCUUCUGCCGUGAGGUUUUUAAAUCAACAAAAUACUGCAGUGGAAAUGUCUUUGGUCAGAAAUUCGGCCUAAUUUCAUAUCCCCUUGGCCAUUCAUCAUCACCCAUCUUCUGAGGGGCUGUUUGACUAAAUGUGUUCUGCAGGUUGUCUGCUCAGUUACACGGCGUUUGGCAUGCAGAAUAGCCUGGAUUUGAAUGUUUUGAAUCAUUUUGAUCUCUCAUCUAAGCACAUAUACAACCUCAAGUUUUGGUACUUCUUGUAGGCUUAGCACAAUCUCCAGAUUUCUCAAUUGAGUUUUGGUAAAUAUGAUUCAGCUUUGAUGGUUUGGUCUCUUACUGGAAAAGUUUCAGUAAUUGACUCUUUCCUUGUACAUGGAUAUUACUCUACAUUUACUAGAGCAGUAGCAACAUUAAAGAUCAUUACUCCAGGUGCUGGCAAUCUUGGAAUACUAUUACUGGAAAUAGUUCAAUGAGGCAACCGAUGAAGCAGCUACAAGUUUGUUA